rnacentral:rRNA from 1 species
AGACCCGAAACCCGGUGAUCUAGCCAUGGGCAGGUUGAAGGUUGGGUAACACUAACUGGAGGACCGAACCGACUAAUGUUGAAAAAUUAGCGGAUGACCUGUGGCUGGGGGUGAAAGGCCAAUCAAACCGGGAGAUAGCUGGUUCUCCCCGAAAGCUAUUUAGGUAGCGCCUCGUGAAUUCAUCUCCGGGGGUAGAGCACUGUUUCGGCUAGGGGGCCAUCCCGGCUUACCAACCCGAUGCAAACUGCGAAUACCGGAGAAUGUUAUCACGGGAGACACACGGCGGGUGCUAACGUCCGUCGUGAAGAGGGAAACAACCCAGACCGCCAGCUAAGGUCCCAAAGUCAUGGUUAAGUGGGAAACGAUGUGGGAAGGCCCAGACAGCCAGGAUGUUGGCUUAGAAGCAGCCAUCAUUUAAAGAAAGCGUAAUAGCUCACUGGUCGAGUCGGCCUGCGCGGAAGAUGUAACGGGGCUAAACCAUGCACCGAAGCUGCGGCAGCGAACGUAUCACUUAAAGCGAUUCAGCGGGUUACGAUUGACGGAGCGAAGCGACG